rnacentral:rRNA from 1 species
GACGAACGCUGGCGGCGUGCCUAAUACAUGCAAGUAGGACGCAGUUGCGAACGGGUGAGUAACGCGUAGGUAACUACCUAUUAGAGGGGGGUAACUAUUGGAAACGAUAGCUAAUACCGCAUACUCGUAGAUGGACCUGCGUUGUAUUAGCUAGUAGGUAGGGUAAUGGCCUACCUAGGCAACGAUACAUCGCCGACCUGAGAGGGGGAUCGGCCAAAAGGGGACUGAGACACGGCCCAGACUCCUACGGGAGGCAGCAGUAGGGAAUCUUCGGCAAUGGGGGGAACCCUGACCGAGGAACGCCGCGGGAGUGAAGAAGUGUUUCUGAUCGUAAAGCUCUGUUGUUGAGGAAGCGGUACUUAACCAGAAAGGGACGGCUAACUACGUGCCAGCAGCCGCGGUAAUAC